rnacentral:rRNA from 1 species
GUGGGGAAUAUUGGACAAUGGGGGCAACCCUGAUCCAGCCAUGCCGCGUGAGUGAUGAAGGCCUUAGGGUUGUAAAGCUCUUUCGCCGGGGAAGAUAAUGACGGUACCCGGAGAAGAAGCCUCGGCUAACUCCGUGCCAGCAGCCGCGGUAAGACGGAGGAGGCUAGCGUUGUUCGGAAUUACUGGGCGUAAAGCGUACGCAGGUGGCGAAGCAAGUCGGAUGUGAAAGCCCGGGGCUCAACCCCGGAUGUGCAUCCGAUACUGUUUUGCUGGAGUCCGGGAGAGGAGAGCGGAAUUCCCAGUGUAGAGGUGAAAUUCGUAGAUAUUGGGAAGAACACCGGUGGCGAAGGCGGCUCUCUGGUCCGGUACUGACACUCAAGUACGAAAGCGUGGGGAGCAAACAGGAUUAGAAACCCUAGUAGUCC